rnacentral:lncRNA from 10 species
GUAAGUCGAAAUAAGAAUGUCUAACUCCACACAGGGUUGGCAGUGGGAUGAGGCCGUAUAUGUGAGAGCACUUUGGGAAGAAAUAAAUAACGACAUUUGUCGUACAUAAGAUGUCACUCCUAAGAGUGGACUUCACAAGAAAGGAAGUGUGUUUGAUCUCAGCUUUGGUUUACUAAUCUAAGAAAAUAAAAACUGGAUUCCAACAAGGGAUUGUAAAUUCUCACUGCAUACCUGACACCAGUUACCAUGAUGACUCUUGUCUGGUUACUUGAUCCCUGAGUCCUUCAGCUCCUACUUCUGUUGAGUGGGGAAUAACAGCUCUUCACUGAGACUUUUAUAAAGCACUCUGUGUGAUUAAUUUAAACAUCAUAAUAAUUCAAAUUUCUAUGCAUGGGGAAACUUAGCAUUUUACGUGAAGUAAACCUUGGUGCAAUAGUGUCACCUCUUUCCAGGUGCAUUAUUCACAAUGUCAUGGUUAGCUGACACUCAGACAUUUAGGAGAUAUAGUUAGACUGUAAUAGCUUAAGGUUUCUCACAGCCUUCUCAUUUUUCACACCUGCUGGGGAACCCACUCUCCUCUAGCCUCAGGGAUUUGGUCCAUAUCCUUCCUGUUCUUCUUGUUCUCAGUCUGAAGCACUGUCCUCUCCUACCCGUCUUCUAAACCAUAGUGUAUUCACAGGCCACAUUCCAGCAAGCUCACAAGUGCCAGCCUGACGUGAGUAGUGCUAAUAUCAAAUCUGACAACUUCCGUUCGGAGUCAGGCAGGCAGAAUGGUAUAGGGGGCAGAGCUUUGGCAUCAUACGAACCUGGGUUUUGAAACUCCACCAUUCACCACCCUGUGUGACUCUGGGCCAGUCAUUCAACCUCUUUGAAUCUUGAUUUCUUCCUGGUUAAAGGGAUGAGAGUCCAGCCAGGCACGGUGGCUCAUGCCUGUAAUCCCAGCACUUUGGGAAGCUGAGGCGGGCGGAUCACCUGAGGUCAGGAGUUCGAGACCAGCAUGGCCAACAUGGUGAAACCCCAUCUCUACUAAAAAUGCAAAAAUUAGCCAGGCGUGGUGGCGCAUGCCUGUAAUCCCAGCUACUCAGAAAGUUGAGAUGGGAGAAUUGCUUAAACCCGGGAGGUGUAGGCUGCAGUGAGCUGAGAUCACACCAUUGCACUCCAAGCUGGGCAACAAGAGUGAAACUCCAUCUCAAAAAAAAAAAAAGAAGAAGAGAAAGAGAAAAAUAGAGAUGAGGGUCCUAGAGUAAGUAUACCCCAAAGGGAGAAAGGGAGGAAUACAUUUAAUCAGCUAGGCAUAUGAAGAACUUAGCACGGCGGCACAUAAUGAGUACUAUGUCAAUGAUCUUUGUCCUCUGUGGAAACAUCCUUACUGGAUGAAGUGGGGCUGCUUCUCCCAAAGUUCCAACCCUGGUUUGGGCAACUCCAUCAACUUCCAUGAACCCUCAGGGAAGAACGAGUAGAGAUUUCCAGAUAUCCCUUUCCCCCACACAUUGGCCUCUCAUAGAAUGUAACUUUGGUCAUAACAAACCCAGUCUUAUUACUGAAAUAAGUUGAAGCCUUCUAAACAAGUAGGCUUAGAACCUCUUUUCCACAGGAAAUGCCUGAUCACUGGAAUUUUGUAGCUAGAAGGUAUUCCUGAGCUCAGAGAUGCCACAUACUAUUAAAAUUAUUGGUAAUUUCCUCUUGCUUGGGCACUCAAGCUCUCUACCAUUGCAGGAAUUCAUGAGCUGACUCCUUUAUUUCAGGUGCUUCCAAACAAAACUGACAAGCAACACCCAGUUGCCUACAUUUUAGUUUGCAUUCAUCUCCACUGGGUGUAGGGUACUAGGAGCAUGCAGCACAAUUGUGCUUCUCUUCCAGCUGGAGUCUGUAGACUGAGCCAGGCCACCUUGUUUAGGCUCUAGUGCCUGACAAAGAGCUCAGUGGGCUGGAAGCCUAGUGCAGUUAACACUGAUGGCUUUGUAGCUUGGACAGGUGAAAGUCAGCAAGCUUCCCAGUAGACCAAUUGAUCUGAGUUGCCUCUCUGGCCAGAAGCCAGCCCUGGCAGGGAUCCAACUUCCUCUCAAGCACUGAGAAAGGGCUCAGGUGUAUCUGGUGGCCGGCAGAGCAGGUAGUCAGCCAAGGCUUCAUAGUUCUCACCCACGGCAAUUCAGCUAGCAAACUAGAGACACUUCCCCAAGAAGACACAGCGUGGCAAGACUGCUGAGACGCAUAAAGAAAUCUUAGCUGGUUUCCUGGUUGAAUGUUCUGUUGUAGAAGAAUGCAACUGAGUUUUCUAAACAGAUCUUCUUCUUGACAUCCUUGCUGAACGAGAGCAAAGGAGACAGCUGGGAGCAGAUGGGCAAAUCCCAGUUUGCCCAAAGAAAUGUCUAUUUUCCAAGGGGCAUGAAGAAUUUAGGAAUAAAGCAGAUCUGAUUUCUAAUUCUGACUUUGCUACUGGCAAAUUGUGUGGACUCAGGAAAGUGACCGGCCCUCUUUAAGACUCAGUGUGCUUACCUCUGAAAUGGAGCUGUCAAUCACAUCUGCCUCACAGGCUUGUUCUGAGGAUGAAGUGAGAAAAUGCCCACGAGGUGCUGGUUGCAGCAGCUGGUGCAUAGAGCUUAAAAAGGAUGCAGUCCCAAAACAUAGAAGGAUUUACUCCAGAUCCAAGCAAUGAGUCAGGAACAGAAAGCCUGAUGCCCUCACCUGGAACUCUCCCUCCUCCCUGGAUGAGGACCUUCCCCAGAAUUGCAGGGCACCCACACAAGACCAAGCAAGUUCAGAGAAAAUUGAAACCUGACUUUAGAGCCUCUGGGAUGUUCACUACACCUCAUUGAACCUGUUUGGUUCACAGAGCUCCAACUACCGUCUACUUCCUGCAACUGGCCUGCUGCCAACUCCCCAGAUCUCUUGUGGAGCUGCCGGAAGAGACAGCCUGCCACAGAAGAAAGCAGCCCUCCUCUUUCAUGGCCUCCCACAUCUUGAAACAAACACAAGCAAACAAAACAAAAGCUUGAGUCCCAGCCUGAUUCACCAGGUUUGGUUCCCAAUUGUUGAAAUUCCCUUCCCAGGGCUCUCAGAACCAGGGUUGGCUGGAGGGGUGAAAGAGGCUGGCCCUGAGCCCAGUAAUAGGACACCAAGGGGGAGCUAAAAGCUGGGAUCUGGGGUGAAGAUGGGGUCUUCCAAGCUGGGAGGCAGACACCAGGCCAGAGCAACCGGCCUGCCCCAGCUCAGGCCUCUUAACCCAUGCAGGGCAAGAGUAUAAACAGAGGCCACGGACCACAUGCCUCAGUAUUUAAACUUAUAAAUCAAGCUAACAUAACAUGAAAUCAAAUAUGUUCUAUCCUCCUAGCUUGACAAAUACUUUCAUAACGAGAUGGAAUGCCAGGUUCAGAUUUAGAAUUUUCACACUCCUUAAAGUUCCAAGUCAAAAUACAGCAUUAGGGGAGGGCCCCCAACCUCGAGGUCUCCCCUCCCCCAUUUUCUUUCACUCCCAGCUCUGUCUCACACCACGAGGGAUCUUGGGUGAAUGCCCCUCGAUACCCCAGCCCCCCACAAACAGCUGCCCUUUCCCCCCUUGGCCAAGGGUAAGCACAGCAGCAGGGCAGUCUGCCCUUGGCUGGAGAGAUGGAAGGAGAGGCCACACGGGCCCUGAAAAUGCAUUUGGGGACUCUUGGGCAGGAAACUUGGGAGUUUCUGGAGCCUCAAGGAGGGUCUAGUGGGACAGAGCCACUUGGGCCCAUGAGAUCCUUGACCCAUGGAGAAGGGUAGGGCUAGAGGAGGGCCAGGGCAGGCCCUAUGAACAGAAGAACCUAGAGUAACUGCCCUGUCCCCAGAUCCUGUCACCGAGCAGGUAUACUUGGGAGGGUAUUGGAGGGUGGAACCCAAGGGAGCUUGCCCAAGGCACUAGGAAAGAAAAGUGUAAACCUUGUUAGAGAAUGCUAAGGAUAGCUGUUAAAGCCUCAGAGAUUUUACUCAUUUUUGGCUGUUUCUAAAAAUCUUCCCCCAAAGGAAGAUCUUGCUCUCAUUGAGGAUCUGAGAAAGAAUUCUCUCCAAGUAGUUUCAAAACAUUCUGAUGUAAAAACUCUGGUGUGUUAGUCAAAAAUAAAUUUUGUUGCUUGAUGGCUUCACCAUUCACAAAAUAUUCUAUCCAUCCAAUUUAAAAAUAAGAGCAGGGUAUUUAAAACUCUUUCAAUAAACACAAAUUAAAACAAUGAAGCUUG